rnacentral:rRNA from 1 species
AUUGAACGCUGGCGGCAUGCCUUACACAUGCAAGUCGAACGGCAGCGCGGGCUUCGGCCUGGCGGCGAGUGGCGGACGGGUGAGUAAUGCAUCGGAACGUGCCCAGGAGUGGGGGGUAACGUAGCGAAAGUUACGCUAAUACCGCAUACGUACUGAGGUAGAAAGCGGGGGAUCGAAAGACCUCGCGCUCAUGGAGCGGCCGAUGUCGGAUUAGCUAGUUGGCGGGGUAAAAGCCCACCAAGGCGACGAUCCGUAGCUGGUCUGAGAGGACGACCAGCCACACUGGGACUGAGACACGGCCCAGACUCCUACGGGAGGCAGCAGUGGGGAAUCUUGGACAAUGGGGGAAACCCUGAUCCAGCAAUGCCGCGUGUGGGAUGAAGGCCCUCGGGUUGUAAACCACUUUUGGCAGGAAAGAAAUCGCCUGUGCUAAUACCACGGGCGGAUGACGGUACCUGCAGAAUAAGCACCGGCUAACUACGUGCCAGCCGCCGCCGUAC